UAAGCUCUUAUCACAUCUUCCUCGCUCACCAGUAACAACACAAAUACAGUGAGGGACUUGCAGACACGUGAAUGCCACGUGCGUCGCUUCCAUCGCAUGUAGCUUUCCAAUUACAACUUUCGAGACAGAAAAUGAGCUCGUCCCUCGAAAUCCAUUGUCUCGCAGCUGAAACUCUGGGAUCAGCUGUGAAGGUUGAAUUUGGUGAGGUUGCUGCUAUUCUAGAUGUACCAAAUGCCCUAUCCGAUUGUCAAGCACUUCCUUUUAAAUAUAUACAACCACUAAGUCAUGUCACAACAACAUCAAGCAGAGUAUCUGCUUAUCUUAUUGAUGGACAUUCAACAGUGAGGUUCAAAAUGAUUGUUGAUUUCAUUACCAUCUUAUUAUACAUUCUUUUCACAUAAAAAGCAGAGAGUCCAUUGCAAUUAAGUCAUAUAUUUUGAAGAUUAAAGUGUAAUAUUGAGCUAUCACAUAUUUAAAAUAAAGCUUCACCUGCAUAAUGCCAUAUGGUCCUUUGUUUUUACAGAGUAUGCAAUCUUUUCAAUUGUCAGAGAUGAUGUUUUAGUUGGAUAAUGAACUAAAGAAUUUGUGUGUAAUAGAAGGACCUAUUUUGAUUCACAAAGUUGUGUCUGUAUUUUUCAUCUUACGAAUGUCGUGAUAGGUUUUUGUUUUUUGUCUUUAGCUCUUUUUUACUUUAUUGACACAUAAUUGAUAAAUUUUAAAUUUACUGUUUUACUUACAGAUCUUGAGCACAAUAUAAUUGUGUGAUUGGAGAACAAUACCCUAAAAUUGUACAUACAAUGGUUCCUUUAGAGGAUAUUCCAUUCCAAAAUCAGUCAAUUCACUUCUCUCUGAUAAUGAAUAUAAUGUGAUAUAAACAGUUACUAAAGAAGUAUGGUUUCUUAAACACUGCUUUUUGAUAUCAGAUGGGUGGUGUUCAUCUUCUUGGGCUAAGGUCACCCAAAAUCCCAUAUACAUUUUCUGUUAUUAUGUUUCAACUGGUUAUAACAUUCUACAAAUUUAUGAAUUUUGAUCUUUCUAUAAUUUUUAUGAGUUAUUAUUAUUAUUUUCUUAAUCUUUAUUUUUGCCACCAUUAUUUUCUUAAUCUCUUCACUUAGUUUGUCAAUAUUAUUUUGUGCUUCAUCUGAAGCUUUGCUCUCAUUUUUUUUUACAAACUGCUGCAUGGAACUUGCUCAGGGUGUACAUCAACAUGACUACAUCAGCUGGAAUUUGUUUCUAUUGUCAAUUCAAACUUUGUCUUUGCUCUAUCCUGAUCGAAAUGAAAAGGGAUAUUGAAAUCUUAUCAUUUCAUUGUUGUGGGAACACUAAUUCUUGGUUUGAUUGCAUAAAAUAAAGAGGGAAAUGAAUGAGAAUUCUUAAAGCAAAAUGAUAGAACGUGAACCUUUUCCCUCAUAACAGAAUUAAACAAAAAUAUGAGAAACUCGCUAGCCUUAAUUUAGUGUUGACUUAUUUAUUAGAUUGAUACGGGACCAUUGCUUGGUGCUGCGAAAAUGCUUGGGUUGUCAAGCAGGAGAACAUGAGUUUGACUCCUGAAAGCAACUGCCUUGUGCAAAUAUUGCCAAAGCUUUCUAGCCCCCCGAUUACCGAGGACAGCAAUGGUUAAUGGCUCUUCUUUUAGUAGAUUGAUUCACAUUUCUUUUGUAAAAUUGGUUUUAUGGGCAUUUGCCUUUAUAAAAUUAUAGCUGCAAAUUUAUUUGUUUGGUGUUUCAUAACAGUAUACUGAAUCAAGGUGAUGAAGAACUUUUGACAGAUGCUAUUUACCACAAUUCAGAGUCGUCCAUAUUUAAGGAACCAGAGACUUUUAGGAAGACGAUUAGUUCAUGUUCACAAGGAGAGGACUACAUUGGGAAGAUGAAGGAUUUCUAGGUCUAUCUUGACGUGGUAGAGGUUCAACUACCAAAUUCUCCUUUCUUUACGUCUCUUUUCUCACUUUCAGUUUUACUUUAUGUUCAUUAUAGGCCAUGGUACACAGUUGUGCCAUAUCUGAACUUCUGCAUGGCAGCCAAGAAGACAACAGAAAUUCUUGUUACCAGGUUGAUAUAAGGCCUAGUGGCUUAAUAGCACAUUAACCUUUGAUACCAUCUGUAUGGGAGAGAACCAAGCAACCAUCCCAUGGUCCACCUUGAGAACUUGUCUUGCUGGAAUUUGACCAAUAAGUUAUUCUCAAAUCAAGCCUAUGCCACUGGAUAAAUUACCCAUUUUCUCUUUCAACUAAGUAGAUCAUAAGCAUUAAAGGCUUAUUGGCUAAAUAAUUAAAUGCUAUACUUCAAUGAAGGUGCCAUGUCUGUGUCAGGCGUCUACCAUGGGCACUUCACAGACAGUCCCAGGCACAUGUCCAAUGCUUAAUGAACACGUCUAUAAUUUAAAAAUAAAUUUCGUUAUUUUGAACAUACACUUCUUUGAAAUAUCUCGGACAUUUGGCCGACGCGUACCAUGGGCACUUCAUAGACACUCCAGGACACAUGUCCAAUGCUUAAUGAACACGUCUAUAAUUUAAAAAUAAAUUUCGUUAUUUUGAACACACUUCUUUGAAAUAUCUCGGACAUUUGGCCGAUACGUACCUUACAUUCUCUGAUACAAUUCUUAUGUAUCACAAACAUAUCUAAGAAUAGUCAUGUCCUACAAUCUUAGAAACGAUGUGAACACACGUUCAAAGUGUCCAAUUUUUUCUUCUUCAAGACUUUAUCAUAUAGUUGCUACAUGUCAAGCAUGUUGUGACACUUUUCAUAUAGGUAAAAAAUAUAAUUAUACUACAAAGUAGGAAAGUUGAAGCAUAUAUAAUAUAAUAAUCUUUAUUAUAUUCUCACAGUUUCAUUUUUUAAAUUAUGUGACUCUUAGAUAAAGGUUAAUACUUUGUUGAGGAUUAAUCAUUGUCUUAUUCAAUAGAUUUCUAUAAAUAAAAAAUUAUAUUUAUAUAUGGCUGUGUUCACAUCGUGGCCUUGUCGUACUGUUGUAGGAUUCUACGAGUUGGUGUAUCCGUGUUAUAUUGUGCCUAUAUCCCAUGUUUAUCUUUGUGCUACAUAACUUGCAAGUCUGAGGAAAUACUUAUUAUUUAUAGGUCUUGGAGAUUCACAUGGAAACAAAAUGAUUCAUUUGGGCCUUCCGUGGGUUCUGAAUGUAUUACUAUGCCAUAUGAAAUAAUGACUUCAUGUUAAGUUCACAACCAAAAUAGUAAAACUAAGAGAUGUAAAAAGGCCAUUUCUUGAAAUUCUGAAAGAUCAUAUUGCAAGUCUCUCUCUCUGUUUUUUUUUUUUUUUCUGGAAGGUGAUUGUUAGUAUUUCCAAUUUCAUUUCCUAAAUUUCUUAGGUUACUGAGAUGUUUUCUUAAUAGUUAAUGGUCCGUUGGGUGAUAUGUUUAUGGACAACUCCCACCAUAUUGGCAUUCAUCAAACUGCUUGUUUCCAAGUUUAGCUAACGAUCAUGUGUAUCUGGUUUUUUUAUUAUCAAACUUGAUAAAUCACCGUAAAUGCAAUUUUGCAAUAAUCAAGAUGAACUAUCCAUUCAAUCUAUAGAGGUGUAGCCCGGUUGUAAAAUUUUUUUAUGGCCAAGAUCUUGGCUUAGAGCAAUAUAAAUAUUUUGUGAACUGUCCCUUUUUUCAGCUGUAGAGGUCAAGAAAUACUAGAGAUUUAGUAGAUUAAUCCUCCUAUGGAUUGACUGAGUUUGGCUUGCAUGCCCUUCCACAGGUGAGGAAGAUUGUGAAACCAGGUUGUUCACAAGAAAUGCUGGAGGUGGCCUUGAUUUCCAUGUCUUUACUUGUGACGACCUUGUGGGCGGGUAUGCCGUGGGCGGGUGCGAGAGACACUGUCAGGCUACCACACUGGCGAGCUACAGGUGCACAAUCCCACAUCGCCUGGGUAGAGGAAAGGUGAAGUGCUUAUAUGUAAGUGUGUCACUUCCAAUUGGUAUGAGGCCUUUUGGGGUGAAGUCCAAGAACAAAACCGUGCGGGCUCAGGCCCAAAGCGGACAAUAUCAUACCAUGUGGAAAGGUGAAAUGCUUAUAUGUAAGUGUGUCACCUCCAAUUGGUAUGAAGCCUUUUGGGGUGAAACCCAAGAACAAAACCGUGCGGGCUCAGGCCAAAAGCGGACAAUAUCAUACCAUGUGGUGGAGUGGGUCGUUACAAAUGGUAUCAGAGCCUGACCCAGCCGGAAGUCUGCUGACGGGGACGUCGGGCCUCCAAGGGGGGUGGAUUGUGACGACCUUGUGGGCGGGUGUGCCGUGGGUGGGUGCGAGAGACACUGUCAGGCUACCACACUGGCGAGUUACAGGUGCACAAUCCCACAUCGCCUGGGUAGAGGAAAGGUGAAGUGCUUAUAUGUAAGUGUGUCACCUCCAAUCGGUAUGAGGCCUUUUGGGGUGAAACUCAAGAACAAAACCGUGCGGGCUCAGGCCCAAAGCGGACAAUAUCAUACCAUGUGGUGGAGUGGGUCGUUACAUUACUUGUCAGAAAGCUCUCAGUCAUGUCCUCCAAACCAAAACCUCAUUCCUCACUUUAAAUCAAUUUCUCAAUUGGUUGUACUAUUGCAGGGAGGAAUGUACCUGUAAUGAUUUAUUCAAGUGUGAAAUUUAUGGUUUUCAUUCUUUUUCUUUUCUUCCCUAAAAAGGGGAAAACAAGGUUGUGGUACUGGAUAGACCAGUCAGUUGUUAUAUAGAGUAAGUUGAAGUACCUUAAGAUUGUUAAUUAGAUGUCAUCCAUCACUGUUCCACCCUUGUUUUAUCAGAUUAACCACAAAUUCUAAUUCAGGUGUAAAUUAAAUUUGGCUGGUAUUCUUGUGUUGCCCUAUUGUGACUGCACAUUUUUAUUUGUUUGGUGUUUGACAAACAUUAUAUGAUGAAUCUAGAUGAUGUGAAAAUAUUGAUGGAUAUUCUGAACAGUCCAGGACUAUCCAGUUUAGGGAAACAGGCUUAUAUGAAAAGGUUGGUGGUUACCAGACUAGGAUUACACCGGGAAGACAAUGUCAUCUUGACAAGGACUUGAACCCUCGACCUUUCGAGGAACCACCAAGGUCUGUGGUCUAGUCAUGUCUCUCCAAGAGCAUUGUGGGAGUUCUUUGCCAGGAAAAAAAAAAAAAAAAAAAAAAAAAAAAGACAGAAAGAAAAAAUACCACUAGGCUACAGCCCUUGGUAUAAUGAGCACUGAUUAUUUGUGUUUUUAUUGAGAGGAAAUGAGCUACACCUCAGCCACCAUGUCAAUAAGUGAUUCUGCCAGGAGUUCCCAGGGAUGGCGACAAUCUGUGCUUGUAGGAUCUGUAAUGCUCUUUCCCAUGAAUGUUAGAACCAUACGCCCUCCGGGUCUUGCUUCCCCUGUGCGUAAGCUUAGAAAUGUUGAGAAAUCGCUUUGAAAUUGCUUCAGGUAUGCUUCAAACACAUGGGAAGGACUUGUCUUUGCAAUGUAUAUGUUGCCCUUGUUAUUAUCCAGUCUUUCAGGAACCUGUCUUUUAGUUACAUGGUAAGGCAAUAAUUAUGUAUACAGAACAUAAUUGACAUCAAUGCAUGCUUAUGGGCAGGAUUUUCCUUUGUAUUGUGCUCUGAAUGAAGAUGCUAACCUUGGAGAGCCAAUGGACGCUGCAAGAAGAAUGAACAUAGCUCCUGCUAGGGAAAAGCCUGCCAUAGAAAGAACCUGGUGAUCCUGAUACAAAACAGGGACUGAAAUUCUCUUCUUUCUCUUUCUUGAGCUUCUCAAGGAAUAUUGGUAGUGAUUUGAAAAUGGUGUUGAAGUCAAUGUGUGGAAGAUCAUUUAGAUACACUUGAAAUUCAGGUGCUUUGCAUUUAUUUUGCUGGCACAGACCAUGAAUUAUGUCGAUGGUUUCAGAGAUGACCAAGAUGGUAUUUGGACCUGAAGAGCAACCCAAGUCUGCUAUUUUAAAGCACCUGGGAAAGUUUUCAUUAUACAUGUCAUAGAGGGUGUCUUCUAGUGCUGGCCGCGCCUUUAGUAACACUGUUUUCUGAAAAAAAUAAUGGACAUGUACUCUGAUAGUUAGGGGGACAGAGAGAGACCUGAAGGGUUGAAUUAUUGGCAUAGUUACUUUCUGAUCAUUAUAUAUAUAGACACGCAUAUACAAGUUCCCUACUCAGCCAUAGUUUACAUGGACAAUGAAUUUGGAAUCUUCCUCAAGGAAUUGUGAUUUGUCCUCGCCGAACUCUAAAUGCCAGAGGAGCCCACCAACCAUCUUUCUUGUUCGGUAUUUGAGUUUGGUUAGUCUAUCACUGCUCAUAUUAAGCAAUGCACUAUGUAUUUGGCUAGGUUUUUGAAAAUCUCUGACAAGGAAUCCCUAGUUUAGGGAAACAGGUUUAUAUGAAAGAGCCAUUGGUGAUUACUGGACCAGGAUUACAUUGGGAAGAUAUUAAUGUGACAGGUUCAUCUCGACAAGAUGCUCAGUCACAUGCUGUGCAAAUCUGGAAAACAGUUUGUCAAUGACAGUGUCUCCAAAAUGAUUAGCCAACAUGGGCUCCGUAACAGCUCUUACACAACUUGCCACAUUUUUCCCACUCUUAUGUUUGUCGAAAACAAAAUGUUUGUCAUCAACUUUGUGGUUGGCAUCCCAAUCGACUUCAAAAGCUUCUAGCUUGUCAAGAAGGAAAUGAGCUACACCUCGACCACCAUGGUGAGAAGUGAUUCUCCCAAGAGUUUCCCGAGAGUGGGACUGUCUUUGCUUAUAGGAUCUGCAAUGCUCCUACCGAUGAGUGUCAAAACCAUGCGCCCUCCAAGUAUUAUUUCCUCCGAGCAUAAGCUUAGAAAUGUUGAGAAAUCGCUUUGAAAUUGCUUCAGGAUUUUCCUUCGAAUUGUGCUCUGAAUGAAGAUGCUAACCUUGGAGAGCCAAUGAACACCGUAAGAAGAAUGAACAAAGUGUAAGCUUCUGCUCGGGAAAAGCCUACCAUAGAAAGAACCCGGUGAUCCUGAUACAAAGCAAGGACUCAACUCUUCUCGUCUCUGUUUGUUGAGCUUCUUGUAGAAUGUCGGUAGUGCUUUGAAAAUUGUGUUGAAGUCAUUGUUUGGAAGAUCAUUUAGAAACACUGGAAUUCAGGUGCUCUGCAAUUAUUUUGCUGGCACAAACCUUUAAUUGUGUCGAUGAUUUCGGAGAUGACCAGAAGGGUAUUUGGACCUGGAGCACAACCCAAGUCUGCUAUUCCAAAGCACAUUGGGAAGUUCUCAUUAUACAUGUCAUUGAGGGUGUCUUCUAGUACUUGCCGCGACUUUAGUAUCACUGUUUUCUGAAAAAUAAACAUGUGCUCUGAUUUUUCAGUGAAUUUUUGCA